rnacentral:rRNA from 1 species
AUGAACGCUGGCGGCGUGCCUCAUACAUGCCAGUCGCGCGAACAGACGAGGAGCUUGCUCCUCUGACGUUAGCGGCGGACGGGUGAGUAACACGUGGAUAACCUACCUAUAAGACUGGGAUAACUUCGGGAAACCGGAGCUAAUACCGGAUAAUAUAUUGAACCGCAUGGUUCAAUAGUGAAAGACGGUUUUGCUGUCACUUAUAGAUGGAUCCGCGCCGUAUUAGCUAGUUGGUAAGGUAACGGCUUACCAAGGCAACGAUGCGUAGCCGACCUGAGAGGGUGAUCGGCCACACUGGAACUGAGACACGGUCCAGACUCCUACGGGAGGCAGCAGUAGGGAAUCUUCCGCAAUGGGCGAAAGCUUGACGGAGCAACGCCGCGUGAGUGAUGAAGGUCUUCGGAUCGUAAAACUCUGUUAUUAGGGAAGAACAAAUGUGUAAGUAACUAUGCACGUCUUGACGGUACCUAAUCAGAAAGCCACGGCUAACUACGUG